rnacentral:piRNA from 1 species
UGCCAUGUUGGCCAGGCCAGUCUCAAUCUCC